UUGUGGCCUUUAGACAUACUACCAACGGCGGCGCGAGCGUAAGCCUCUUGGAACAGAGCGUCUACGUGGGUGAGAAUCCUGUGUUUCGCUUGAUGCCCGCCGUGCACGGUACUUGCUCUCAGAGUCACGCUCCUCGGAAUUGGAGCGUAAAUUGGGUGGUAAAUUUCAUCUAAAGCUAAAUACAGGCUCGAGACCGAUAGCAAACAAGUACCAUGAGGGAAAGAUGAAAAGGACUUUGAAAAGAGAGUUAAAAGUGCUUGAAAUCGCUGAACUGGAAGCGAAUGGAACUAGUGCUCUGGUUGAGAGUGCUGUAAAUGGCUGCGACAUCUGGGCUCUGGAACGCAAGUCCUUUGUCUGGCUUGAAGUAGUCGCUUGCAAUGUGUCUCAGCUUGAACAUCAACUUCUAUGCAUACGUGAGGAUGGCCCUUGGCUCAUGCUGUGUUGCUGUGGCGAUACUCUUGUGCUUCUGGGGAUUCAGG
rnacentral:rRNA from 1 species